AUGGCGGGGUCUCCGGCGUUGAAAUUCACGGUGCGCCGGCAGCCAGUGGUGCUUGUGGCGCCCGCGGGGCCGACGCCGCGGGAGCUGACGCGGCUCUCGGACAUCGACGAUCAGGACGCGCUGCGGUUCCAGCUCCCCAUCAUCCACUUCUUCCGGCGACACGACGGACGGGACGACGACCCUGCGCCGGUGCUACGCGACGCCAUCGCGGCGGCGCUCGUGCACUAUUACCCACUGGCUGGUCGGUUGAGGCAGCUCGAGGGCCGCAAGCUCGCCGUCGACUGCACCAGCGAGGGCGUGCUGUUCGUCGAGGCCGACGCCGACAUCCGCCUCGACCAGUUCGGCGCCGCCCUGCAGCCGCCUUUCGCGUGCCUCGACGAGCUCCUGUUCGACGUCCCUGGCUCCUCCGGCCUCCUCGACACCCCAAUCAUCCACUUCCAGGUGACAAGGCUAGCAUGUGGAGGCUUCAUCAUGGCGUCGAAGAUACAACACACGGUGCUGGACGGGCCAGGGAUGGUGCAGUUCCUGGCUGCCGUGGCGGAGCUGGCGCGGGGAGCAGUGGCACCGACGGUGCGGCCGGUGUGGGCACGAGAGCUGCUGAUGGCUAUGCACGACGACCCGGCGCCACCUACAGUAUUCACGCACCGAGAGUAUGACGACGUGCCGGAUGCCAGCCGCACCAUCAUGCCCCUCGAGUCCAUGGUGCGCCGCCCCUUCUUCUUCGGGCCCGGAGAGCUCAGCACCAUCCGCUCCCACCUCCCGCCGGCCGUCCGUCGCAGCGCCACCGCGUUUGAUCUCCUCACGGGGUGCUUGUGGAGGUGUCGCACCGUGGCGCUGGCCCCCGUCGCCCACGAGGAGAUGCGGAUGAUUUGCCUCGUCAGCCCCCGAGGCCGGAAGCAGCAGGACGGCGGCACCCCCGUCGUCCCUGUCGGCUACUACGGCAACGCGUUCGCGUGCCCGGUCGCCAUCUCCACGGCCGGCGACCUUUGUGCCAACCCGGUGAGCUACGCCGUGGAGCUGGUGAUGAAGACCAAGAGGGAGGUGGACAUGGAGUAUCUGAGGUCGGUGGCACGCCUCAUGGUGCGGCGGGGGCGGCCGCACUUCACGAUGGUGCACGCAUACGUGAUGGCGGACGUAUCUAAGUUUGGGUUCCGCGACCACGACUUCGGGUGGGGCACACCGGUCUACGGCGGAAUGGCCGAAGGUGGCAUCGGCCAUAUGGCCGGGGACACCAGCUUCCUCAUCGCCGUCAAGAAUUCCAAGGGUGAGGACGGCCUCGUGGUGCCCGUGUGCCUGCCUAGUCCCGUCAUGGACAAGUUCGUGGAGGAGAUGAGAAGGUUGAUGCACCCGGCCGUCGGUGCCGUGGCCGUACCGCGGCAACUUCCUGUGAUCAGAUCUCCUAUAUGA
rnacentral:rRNA from 1 species